UAACGAAGGGGGCUAGCGUUGCUCGGAAUCACUGGGCGUAAAGGGUGCGUAGGCGGGUUUUUAAGUCAGGGGUGAAAUCCUGGAGCUCAACUCCGAGAACUGCCUUUGAUACUGAGGGUCUUGAGUUCGGGAGAGGUGAGUGGAACUGCGAGUGUAGAGGUGAAAAUUCGUAGAUAUUCGCAAGAACACCAGUGGCGAAGGCGGCUCACUGGCCCGAGUACUGACGCUGAGGUGACGAAAGCGGUGGGGAGCAAACAGGG
rnacentral:rRNA from 1 species